AUGGGUCAGCGACUUACAUUCAGUGGCAAGGUUAACCGAAUAGGGAAGCCGUAGAGAAAUCGAGUCCGAAUAGGGCGUCAUAGUCGCUGGGUGUAGACCCGAAACCAAGUGAUCUAUCCAUGGGCAGGAUGAAGGUGCCGUAACAGGUACUGGAGGUCCGAACCGACUAAUGUUGCAAAAUUAGCGGAUGACCUGUGGAUAGGGGUGAAAGGCUAAACAAACUUGGAAAUAGCUGGUUCUCUCCGAAAACUAUUUAGGUAGUGCCUCAAGUAUUACCGACGGGGGUAGAGCACUGUUUUGGCUAGGGGGUCAUGGCGACUUACCAAACCAAGGCAAACUCCGAAUACCGUCGAGUACAGCUUGGGAGACAGAGCACCGGGUGCUAACGUCCGGACUCAAGAGGGAAACAACCCAGACCGCCAGCUAAGGUCCCUAAAAUUGGCUAAGUGGGAAACGAAGUGGGAAGGCUAAAACAGUCAGGAUGUUGGCUUAGAAGCAGCCAUCAUUUAAAGAAAGCGUAAUAGCUCACUGAUCGAGUCGUCCUGCGCGGAAGAUGUAACGGGGCUAAGCCAGUUACCGAAGCUGCGGAUUUGCAAUUUAUUGCAAGUGGUAGGAGAGCGUUCUGUAAGCCUGUGAAGGUGUCUUGUAAAGGAUGCUGGAGGUAUCAGAAGUGCGAAUGCUGACAUGAGUAGCGUUAAAGGGGGUGAAAAGCCCCCUCGCCGUAAGCGCAAGGUUUUCUACGCAACGUUCAUCGGCGUAGAGUGAGUCGGCCCCUAAGGCGAGGCAGAGAUGCGUAGCUGAUGGGAAACAGGUCAAUAUUCCUGUACCGAUUACAAGUGCGAUGUGGGGACGGAGAAGGUUAGCUCAGCCAACUGUUGGAUAUGUUGGUUCAAGCCUGUAGUCGUGCCCGGUAGGCAAAUCCGCCGGGCUUAGAUGAGGGGUGAUAACGAGUCUGCUUGCAGACGAAGUGAGUGAUACCCUGCUUCCAGGAAAAGCCACUAAGCUUCAGCUACACACGACCGUACCGCAAACCGACACUGGUGCGCGAGAUGAGUAUUCUAAGGCGCUUGAGAGAACUCAGGAGAAGGAACUCGGCAAAUUGAUACCGUAACUUCGGGAGAAGGUAUGCCCCUAGUAGGUGAACUCGAACAGAGGGAGCCCAAUGGGGUUGCAAAAAAUCGGUGGCUGCGACUGUUUAAUAAAAACACAGCACUCUGCAAACACGAAAGUGGACGUAUAGGGUGUGACGCCUGCCCGGUGCUGGAAGAUUAAAUGAUGGGGUGCAAGCUCUUGAUUGAAGUCCCAGUAAACGGCGGCCGUAACUAUAACGGUCCUAAGGUAGCGAAAUUCCUUGUCGGGUAAGUUCCGACCUGCACGAAUGGCGUAACGAUGGCCACACUGUCUCCUCCAGAGACUCAGCGAAGUUGAAAUGUUUGUGAUGAUGCAAUCUCCCCGCGGAAAGACGGAAAGACCCCAUGAACCUUUACUGUAGCUUUGUAUUGGACUUUGAACAGAUCUGUGUAGGAUAGGUGGGAGGCUUUGAAGCCGGGACGCUAGUCUCGGUGGAGCCAACGUUGAAAUACCACCCUGGUGUGUUUGAGGUUCUAACCUAGGUCCAUUAUCUGGAUCGGGGACAGUGCAUGGUAGGCAGUUUGACUGGGGCGGUCUCCUCCCAAAGUGUAACGGAGGAGUUCGAAGGUACGCUAGUUACGGUCGGACAUCGUGAUAAUAGUGCAAUGGCAUAAGCGUGCUUAACUGCGAGACUGACAAGUCGAGCAGAUGCGAAAGCAGGACAUAGUGAUCCGGUGGUUCUGUAUGGAAGGGCCAUCGCUCAACGGAUAAAAGGUACUCUGGGGAUAACAGGCUGAUACCGCCCAAGAGUUCAUAUCGACGGCGGUGUUUGGCACCUCGAUGUCGGCUCAUCUCAUCCUGGGGCUGUAGCCGGUCCCAAGGGUAUGGCUGUUCGCCAUUUAAAGAGGUACGUGAGCUGGGUUUAAAACGUCGUGAGACAGUUUGGUCCCUAUCUUCCGUGGGCGCUGCAGAUUUGAGGAAGCCUGCUCCUAGUACGAGAGGACCGGAGUGGACACACCUCUGGUGUAUCGGUUGUCACGCCAGUGGCAUUGCCGAGUAGCUAAGUGUGGAAGAGAUAACCGCUGAAAGCAUCUAAGCGGGAAACUCGUUUCAAGAUGAGAUCUGCCGGGGCCUUGAGCCCCCUAAAGAGUCGUUCAAGACCAGGACGUUGAUAGGUCAGGUGUGGAAGCGCAGUAAUGCGUUAAGCUAACUGAUACUAAUUGCUCGUGCGGCUUGACCCU
rnacentral:rRNA from 1 species